GAUUCUUCUAAAUUCAUCUCACUGGUUCGCCUCUUUGUCUCAUCUGGUCUUUCCUUAUCGGCUUUCACCGCCGAUUUCACCAUAUUCCGAAUCGGCUCUAACAGCCAAUUUUACUACAUCAUCAUCGGCCGUUUUGGCCUUCUUGUUGCAUACCAUGUCAUCUGCCUGACAGGCCGACUCAUUCACGUAGCCGAUCUUGUCGAUCGGCUCUUUCUGCCGAAGCUCUUUUAAAGCCUCGGUUCCUGACUCUUUACGUUCCAUUUUAACCAGCUUGGUGGCUCUUCGGCUGCCACCAUAGCUCCUUCAUCUUUAGAGAGAAUCAACUGCACUCCAUUUUUAGUAACUCUUACAAAAGAGAUUUGGUCCGGCUCAGUGUCGGCCCAAUUAAUGUGGUCAAUCUCUUCUACGUUGAUGUCCACCAUUUUGGGCCGCCCUUCGGCCUGAAUUUCUUCAACUUUAUCCCCUAUCCAUUGGAAUUGUAACAUACUAGAUUUUGGUAUAAAAAUAAAAAUAAAUAAAAAUAGUGUGAGAAGCUAUUUUUAUUGAAUUUGUGGAAGUAAAACAUAAGUCAGAAGUGACUUGUGCCGAAAUCGGAAUGAAAACAGAAGAUCUAGAAUUUUCUGUUGGAAACGGGACAGAUAAAUUAGCAGAAAAUGCACAGUCUCAGAAAAUUAUGAAAAUUGGAGGAUAAGUCAGAAAUAUUUUUAUGAGGCUAGUUUUAAAGUUUCAUAUUUUUCUGACACCCGUAGAGUGAGAAAUAAAAUCCGAGAGUUAUCUGAUAAAGAUU
rnacentral:lncRNA from 1 species